UAAUACCAUAACAUUGUCAUUUAAUAAUAUAAACAUCUUCAAUGUCAAUAAAUAUACAUCUAUGACAUCACAUUUAAUGACUGCAUUGUUUUGCAUUGUAAAUGUGGAUUUUUCAGCCUACUGUAGUUGAACAUUUAGGGUGGCUCCUGUUUUCUCAUCUUACAGAGUGUUACAUAGGAUUGAUAACAGUGGAUAAGUGAAGAAAUACAUGUACAGCAUUCAGAGGAGUGCCUGCCACAUAAAAUGAUGGUUAUCAGGAACAGACAUGCACCUCAGCCUGGGCCAAUCACAUCCUCUCCUGGAAAUCUGGAAUUGUUGUCAAAAGAUCAUCAGUUCAUUGCUACAUGAUGAAAGUCAUCUUGACCUUGAACUUGUGACCUUGAAGAUGGACGCCACAGACCAGUAUGAGGGAGCAGGAUGAGAGAAGAGACAGGGUGCCAGAUGAUCAAAGAACAAAAAUACAAGCCCUAGAUGCUCAGUUUCCAGCUGCUUUUGUGAGAGAAAAAUCAAACAAUAACCACAAAGGCCUCUGUCUUAUUUAAAUCAUUUUUUUUUUUUUACAAACUCAGUUUUGUUUUAUAUGUGGCCUAUAAUCUAUCCGAGCAAGAUAUGUUAGUUUGCUAGGGUGUAAGACUCUUGAGAGUCCCUUGGACAGCAAGAUCAAACCAGUCAAUCCUAAAGGAAAUCAUUGUCUGGUAUCUUUAGAGCCUUACUCUGUUGAAGUGAUUCUCAGCUAAACAUUAUGUCUGUUUUAACUUUGAUAAGUAUUUCCACUUUUGUUAUUUAUUAGCGGUAUCUUUUUUUGAAGUGUCAGAUGUUGUGACUAUUUAAAUAAAAUGUCAUUAUAAUUAAAAAAAAUCCUAAAGGAAAUU